UACGUAGGGGGCAAGCGUUGUCCGGAUUUAUUGGGCGUAAAGAGCGUGUAGGCGGCCUGACAAGUCUGCUGUGAAAACUCGAGGCUCAACCUCGAGAUGUCGGCGGAAACUGUCUGGCUAGAGUCCGGAAGAGGAGAGUGGAAUUCCUGGUGUAGCGGUGAAAUGCGCAGAUAUCAGGAGGAACACCGGUGGCGAAGGCGGCUUUCUGGACAGAUACCGACGCUGAGGCACGAAAGCUAGGGGAGCAAACAGG
rnacentral:rRNA from 1 species